GCCCCAUAUGCAAUGGAUACUCCUGUAUGUUGAAUAAUUCAUUAUCUUGUCUAAUGUACUAUGAAGUAUGGUGAAUGAUAUAUGAUACAAGUCUUACAAUGGCAUUUUCCUUGUCAAUUUGGGGAACGAUCCACCCUUCCAGGAAAGGUUUGCUUAAUUUACUUUGUGGGUCUGAUGAAACCAAUUUCAACAACCGUAUUCCUAGUUCUGAUUGUUGGAAUCUCCAGACCUAUGGGCCAUAUGUGUCAAAAAUU
rnacentral:misc_RNA from 1 species